rnacentral:rRNA from 1 species
UGGGGAAUAUUGCACAAUGGGCGAAAGCCUGAUGCAGCAACGCCGCGUGAGCGAUGAAGGCCUUCGGGUCGUAAAGCUCUGUCCUCAAGGAAGAUAAUGACGGUACCCUUGGAGGAAGCCCCGGCUAAAUACGUGCCAGCAGCCGCGGUAAUACGUAUGGGGCAAGCGUUAUCCGGAAUUAUUGGGCGUAAAGAGUGCGUAGGUGGUUUUUUAAGCGUGGGGUUUAGGCUACGGCUUAACCGUAGUUCGCCCCAUGAACUGGGAGACUUGAGUGCAGGAGAGGAAAGCGGAAUUCCUAGUGUAGCGGUGAAAUGCGUAGAUAUUAGGAGGAACACCGGUGGCGAAGGCGGCUUUCUGGACUGUAACUGACACUGAGGCACGAAAGCGUGGGGAGCAAACAGG